AUUGAACGCUAGCGGGAUGCCUAACACAUGCAAGUCGAACGGAGCGGCGAACGGGUGAGUAAUGCCUCGGAAUGUGCCUGGUAGCGGGGGAUAACGUCGGGAAACGGGAGCUAAUACCGCAUACUAUUGGAGGGGCCGAUAUCGGAUUAGCUAGUUGGUGGGGUAACGGCCCACCAAGGCGACGAUCCGUAACUGGUUUGAGAGGAUGACCAGUCACACUGGAACUGAGACACGGUCCAGACUCCUACGGGAGGCAGCAGUGGGGAAUUUUGGACAAUGGGGGAAACCCUGAUCCAGCCAUCCCGCGUGUGUGAAGAAGGCCUUCGGAUUGUAAAGCACUUUAGGCUGGGAAGCGGUACCUGCAGAAUAAGCACCGGCUAACUACGUGCCAGCCGCCGCGGUAAUAC
rnacentral:rRNA from 1 species